GCUUGCUUAACUCAGUUGGUUAGAGUGUGGUGCUCAAUCAAGUUGAAAUAAAAAGCCUUGAUAUAAAAAAAUUGGUUAGAGUGUGGUGCUAAUAACGCCAAAGUCACAGGUUUGACUCCUGUAGUGAGCA